GACGAACGCUGGCGGCGUGCUUAACACAUGCAAGUCGAACGGAAAGGCCCUGCUUUUGUGGGGUGCUCGAGUGGCGAACGGGUGAGUAACACGUGAGUAACCUGCCCUUGACUUUGGGAUAACUUCAGGAAACUGGGGCUAAUACCGGAUAGGAGCUCCUGCUGCAUGGUGGGGGUUGGAAAGUUUCGGCGGUUGGGGAUGGACUCGCGGCUUAUCAGCUUGUUGGUGGGGUAGUGGCUUACCAAGGCUCUGACGGGUAGCCGGCCUGGGAGGGUGACCGGCCACAUUGGGACUGGGGUACGGCCCAGACUCCUACGGGAGGCAGCGGUGGGGAAUAUUGCGCAGUGGGCGGGAGCCUGAUGCAGCGACGCCGCGUGCGGGAUGACGGCCUUCGGGUUGUAAACCGCUUUCGCCUGUGACGGAGCGUGAGUGACGGUAAUGGGUAAGGAAGCACCGGCUAACUACGUG
rnacentral:rRNA from 1 species